rnacentral:rRNA from 1 species
UGGGGAAUAUUGGACAAUGGGCGCAAGCCUGAUCCAGCCAUGCCGCGUGAGUGAUGAAGGCCUUAGGGUUGUAAAGCUCUUUUAUCCGGGACGAUAAUGACGGUACCGGAGGAAUAAGCCCCGGCUAACUUCGUGCCAGCAGCCGCGGUAAUACGAAGGGGGCUAGCGUUGCUCGGAAUCACUGGGCGUAAAGGGCGCGUAGGCGGCGUUUUAAGUCGGGGGUGAAAGCCUGUGGCUCAACCACAGAAUGGCCUUCGAUACUGGGACKCUUGAGUAUGGUAGAGGUUGGUGGAACUGCGAGUGUAGAGGUGAAAUUCGUAGAUAUUCGCAAGAACACCGGUGGCGAAGGCGGCCAACUGGACCAUUACUGACGCUGAGGCGCGAAAGCGUGGGGAGCAAACAGGAUUAGAUACCCUGGUASUCCACGCCGUAAACGAUGAAUGCCAGCUGUUGGGGUGCUUGCACCGCAGUAGCGCAGCUAACGCUUUGAGCAUUCCGCCUGGGGAGYACGGUCGCAAGAUUA